GUCUACAGCCACACCACUCUGCAUGUGUCCCAUCUCAUCUGAUCUCAGAACCAAAACAGGGUUAAGCCUACUUAGUACUUAGAUGGGAGAAAUCACUCAAGUAAGAAGAGGAUGAAAUGA
rnacentral:rRNA from 1 species